AUGGGUGGGAAGGUGAAGGCGAUGGCGCCGGUGGAGGAGGUGGACGUCGCCGCCGCGCGGUACGAGCCGCUGGUGCUGCGGGCGCCGCGCCUCACGGGCUUCUCACUCCGGGCCUUCGUCUGGCUCCUCGAGUCCCCGCUCCUCGGGCCACUCGUCACCUCCGUCCUCAAGAAGCAGAACAAUAUGACGCAGAUGCUGCAGCACACGGUGAUCCCCGACCGGCCCAUGUUCUUCCCGGAGUUCCCGCCGCAGGAGCCCGAGAAAGGGGUUGUGAUCCUGGGGGAGGACAGGGAGCCUGUGGAGAGAGUGGAGGAAGCACUGCAGUGCCUCACUCCAUACGACCCGUCCGGGCGUUUCACAUCAUCGUCCGAUGAGAAAAAUCCCUUUCUCUACUGGAAGAUCCGUGACUUUGCACAUGCGUACCGGUCCGGGAUCACGACACCGUCAGCUGUUGUGGAGCAUGUCAUUGCGGGCGUGGAAGAGUGGAACAAUAAGAAGCCUCCGAUGCCAAUGCUGAUCUAUUUUGACGCUGAUGACCUCAGGAAGCAAGCUGAUGCUUCCACAAAGAGAUUUGCGCAAGGAAGCCCGAUUUCCGUUUUGGAUGGGAUCUUUUUCGCCAUUAAGGAUGACAUUGACUGCUUCCCAUAUCCAUCAAAGAGUGCUACCACAUUUUUCGACAAAAUCCGCCCUGUGGAGAAAGACGCAGUCUUAGUUGCUCGCUUACGGAAAUGUGGAGUGAUUUUUAUUGGGAAAGCAAAUAUGCACGAGUUAGGCAUUGGGGUCACUGGAAACAAUCCAAACUAUGGGACAGUAAGAAAUCCACAUUCAAUCGAUAGAUAUACUGGUGCUUCUUCAUCUGGUCCAGCUGCACUUGUCUCAUCAGGGUUAUGCUCAGCAGCGAUUGGAACAGACGCCGGAGGCUCAGUUCGAAUACCAUCCUCCCUAUGUGGCAUUGUUGGUUUGAAGACAACAUUCGGGCGCACAGAUAUGACUGGGAUGCUUUGCAAUGCUGGGACUGCUGCAGUUGCCUCACCUCUUACAGCGUCGGUGGAGGAUUCUAUGCUAGUGUAUUCUGCACUUGCAGGCUGUAGACCUAUGGAUAAGCUUACUCUGAGACCUUUGCCGCUGUGUGUUCCUAACUUGGUGUCCUCUGAGAACAACGAUAUCCUGCAAUCAGUGAAAGUGGGAAAAUAUACAGAGUGGUUUCAUGAUGUUUCUGAUAUUGAGAUCUCAAAUACAUGUGAGGAUGCACUUAGCCUCCUGCGCAACACCUUCGGAUGUCAGAUAGAAGAGAUAAUAUUACCAGAGCUUUUGGAGAUGCGUACUGCCCAUCUUGUCACUAUUGGCUCAGAAGGAUUCUGCCAGCUGAAUGCUCAUUACCAAGAAGGGAGGCGAACUGAAAUGACGUUAGAUACUCGAGGAAGUUUGGCACUUUUUGGGUCAUUCACUUCAGCAGAUUAUGUUGCUUCUCAACGUCUGAGGAGAAGGAUGAUGUACUAUCACAUGGAAGCUUUCAAGAAGGUUGACGUCAUAGCAACCCCUACAACCGGCAUUACUGCACCAAGAAUACCACCAAGUGCUCUGAAAGGAGAGUCUGAUUAUAUUGUAUCAGCUAAGUUGAUGCAAUUCAUUGUUGCGGGGAAUCUUCUUGGCUUUCCUGCCAUAACUGUUCCUGUUGGUCAUGACAAGCAAGGCCUUCCUAUCGGCUUGCAACUGAUAGGCCGUCCAUGGGGUGAGGCUAGCUUACUGAGGGUGGCUUCGGCAGUAGAGGAGCUCUGCCUGAAGAGAAGGAAUCGUCCGUCCACAUUCUACGACAUCCUAAAGACCUGA
rnacentral:rRNA from 1 species